rnacentral:rRNA from 1 species
GACGAACGCUGGCGGCGUGCCUAAUACAUGCAAGUCGAGCGAAUGGAUUAAGAGCUUGCUCUUAUGAAGUUAGCGGCGGACGGGUGAGUAACACGUGGGCAACCUGCCCCUCACUUCGGGAUAACUCCGGGAAACCGGGGCUAAUACCGGAUAUGACCUCCUUGGGCAUCCUUGGAGGUGGAAAGUUUUUCGGUGAGGGAUGGGCCCGCGGCCUAUCAGCUUGUUGGUGAGGUAGUGGCUCACCAAGGCGACGACGGGUAGCCGGCCUGAGAGGGCGACCGGCCACACUGGGACGGAGACACGGCCCAGACUCCUACGGGAGGCAGCAGUGGGGAAUAUUGCGCGAUGGGCGAAAGCCUGACGCAGCAACGCCGCGUGCGGGAUGACGGCCUUCGGGUUGUAAACCGCUUUCAGCAGGGAAGAAGCCGCAAGGUGACGGUACCUGCAGAAGAAGCACCGGCUAACUACGUGCCAGCCGCCGCAGUAA